AGUGAACGCUGGCGGUAGGCCUAACACAUGCAAGUCGAACGGCAGCACAGUAAGAGCUUGCUCUUACGGGUGGCGCGUGGCGGACGGGUGAGUAAUACAUCGGAAUCUUCUUCUUCGUGGGGGAUAACGUAGGGAAACUUACGCUCAUACCGCAUACGUCCUCCGGGUGAAAGCAGGGGUUCUUCGGACCUUGCGCGAUUGAAUGAGCCGAUGUCGGAUUAGCUAGUUGGCGGGGUAAAGGCCCACCAAGGCCACGAUCCGUAGCUGGUCUGAGCGGAUGAUCAGCCACACUGGAACUGAGACACGGUCCAGACUCCUACGGGAGGCAGCAGUGGGGAAUAUUGGACAAUGGGCGCAAGCCUGAUCCAGCCAUACCGCGGGGGUGAAGAAGGCCUUCGGGUUGUAAAGCCCUUUUGUUGGGAAAGAAAAGCAGCAGGUUAACACCCCGCUAUUCUGACGGUACCCAAAGAGUAAGCACCGGCUAACUUCGUG
rnacentral:rRNA from 1 species